GGGUUGUGAGGUUAAGCGACUAAGCGUACACGGUGGAUGCCCUGGCAGUCAGAGGCGAUGAAGGACGUGCUAAUCUGCGAUAAGCGUCGGUAAGGUGAUAUGAACCGUUAUAACCGGCGAUUUCCGAAUGGGGAAACCCAGUGUGUUUCGACACACUAUCAUUAACUGAAUCCAUAGGUUAAUGAGGCGAACCGGGGGAACUGAAACAUCUAAGUACCCCG
rnacentral:rRNA from 2 species